rnacentral:rRNA from 1 species
UACGUAGGGUGCAAGCGUUAAUCGGAAUUACUGGGCGUAAAGCGUGCGCAGGCGGUGAUGUAAGUCAGUUGUGAAAUCCCCGGGCUCAACCUGGGAACUGCAUCUGUGACUGCAUCGCUGGAGUACGGCAGAGGGGGAUGGAAUUCCGCGUGUAGCAGUGAAAUGCGUAGAUAUGCGGAGGAACACCGAUGGCGAAGGCAAUCCCCUGGGCCUGUACUGACGCUCAUGCACGAAAGCGUGGGGAGCAAACAGG